ensembl:lncRNA
GUACAGACUCCCACUAUUUUCUGUACUUCUGGCUGUACAUUUUUGAUUGAGGCAUGUUGAUUGAUUCUGCUGACCAUCGCUGGGGCCAGGAAAAAGUCUGUCAACCGAAGUAGGAGCCAAGUGUAUCACCAUGCAACACUCUACCGAGGUUCCGGGUGAUCUCCCAUCUUCUUCAUAGUGGCCUCGGCUGGACUCCACUGGUCAGCUGGAAACCCACCGCAUAACCUCUAGCCAGGUGAAUCAAGAGCUUCACCAGAGACGGAAGAGGAAGCGAGACAUCCUGGCCUUCCUACGUCACCGCCUCAUCUGCUUGUUGCCCUAGCACAGUGUUUCCCUACUCCAGUCCUCCAUCAGUAUACAUUUUUAUUGUAGCCCCAGACAAGCACAUCUGAUUCAACUUGUAAACUAAUCAUCAAGCCCUUGAGUUGAAUGAGGUGUGUUUGUCUGGGGGCUACAAUGAAAAUGUGUGCGGUUAGGGGUACUUGAAGACCGGAGUUGGUAAACAACGAGGGAGUUCUAUUAACCUGAGCCACGGUGCACUGGUCUAUGACCCAUGGCGUGAAAGGGACAAAUCUGUGAGGGAGGAGUGCCCUUCUCAAAUCUAACAGUAAUUUGUGCCACUCUCAUGUUGUCGACAAGGCAGCAUGGUGCAUCUUUCAG